rnacentral:rRNA from 1 species
CCUACGGGUGGCAGCAGUGAGGAAUAUUGGUCAAUGGACGAGAGUCUGAACCAGCCAAGCAGCGUGAAGGAUGACUGCCCUAUGGGUUGUAAACUUCUUUUAUAUGGGAAUAAAACGUUCCACGUGAGGGAUCAUGUAUGUACCAUAUGAAUAAGGAUCGGCUAACUCCGCGCCAGCAGCCGCGGUAAUACGGAGGAUCCGAGCGUUAGCCGGAUUUAUUGGGUUUAAAGGGAGCGUAGGUGGAUUGGUAAGUCAGUUGUGAAAGUUUGCGGCUCAACCGUAAAAUUGCAGUUGAAACUGGCAGACUUGAGUGCAGUAGAGGUGAGCGGAAUUCGUGGUGUAGCGGUGAAAUGCUUAGAUAUCACGAAGAACUCCGAUUGCGAAGGCAGUUCACUGGACUGUAACUGACGCUGAGGCUCGAAAGUGUGGGGAUCAAACAGGAUUAGAUACCCUAGUAGUC